UUUUUUUUUUUUUUUUUCUUUUCACUAUUUGAUUUUGAGUGUGAGAAUUAAAUUACAUGACAAAAAUGGAAUACACAAGAAUUUUUCUUUAAAGUCAUGUCAAGUAAACUUUGUCAUGCUAAGAGCUAAAAAUAAGAAAAAUGGCAUUCUUCCAAUAGGAAAUAAGAUGUUUUAGAAUCAGAGAGCGAACAGAAACAGUAUCCUGACAAAAUACGGAAUUCUUACAUCGUAUCAGAAAUUCCUAUGAUUAAAAAUAAUAGGAUUAAACACAACAAUGUCCUAUGACCUAUCACUUAUGCAUACACCUAGUGUAGACAAAUUUCUCCCUAAAUACAGAAAUCCCCUUGUAUUUAUGUAUAAUGCAUUAUUGUCGUGCAUUUUUCAAGGAAAGACACUGACUCAAGUCCCUAAGGUGUUCAAAAAUUGAACAUUUUAUGCCAAAUAGCCCAAAAAUGAAUCCAAUACAGUGUCCUUGGAAAAAAGAAAAGCGUCAAUUUUUUUGCUGGACAUAGAAAGAAGCCUAUUUUAAGAAAUGGGAGGAUAAGAGUUCAUAUUACACCAUAUCUUAGGAGGAUGUUGAAGUUAACCCAAAAUAUCUCAAAAUUUUAAUAAUUCUGACAACAUAAGAAUGCAAGUAAAACAACUAUUAGAACAACUAUGAAAAAAAAAAUGAUAUCCUUAAAUAAGGAGUUACAAAAAAGCCACUAUAAAAUUGAGGUUUUUACCAUGUGUUUAGACAUAGGAAUUGCAGCCGUUGGCUUUUCUUCAUCUUUAAACUUAGGGUCUGUUUGGCAAUAUUAGCUGUUCUAAUAGCUGUAAGCUAUUCUAGUAGCUAUUAGAUAUUAGUUAUUUAUAGAGUAAUUUAAAGCAGAAAUAUUCGAUAAAAAUAGCUGUUAAAUGUAAAACUAGUGAUAUAAUCUUUUUAAUCCUAAUCAAAACACUCCCUCAACCUCUAAAAGCUAAGAAAGGUAACAUUUCAUGAACCACUCUCUCAAUCUCUAAACACUAGUAUAAACACUAUGUCAUCAAAUAGUAUAAAUAAGAAAUAUUCAAAACACUAAAUACUACCUUAAAAGUUAUUGCCGAACAGGGCCUUAAUUGAAUAAAAAGCUUUGAAUUUUGCUAUGGAGCCAUCAAGAAGUGGUCAAAAUAAAGAAGAUGAAGGCUUGGUAAUUUAGAGCAUUCAACAGCAGGGGCUGUUAAGUAUGUUGCUUGAGAGUCUAUCAUAUAACGCUUGAACACAGAGAAGGCCUGAAUAGUACAUGGUUUGAGUGGCAGAACUCAUGCCAGCCCAUAAGACUCAGAAUAGUAGUUCUGCACUUUGAUCUUACUGGCCACAUUUUUUUUUCUUUUUUUGUGACCCCAGAUCCACAUCUGAUCUGACUACUCUUCUUUGUUUUUUCCUUGCAUUUAGUUACCUCAAAAGUCAAGGGAGGUUGAAAUAUGAAUUAAAACAAUCCAAUCUGAACUGACCCACAGCUGGACAGUCUAUUACCUCUUCUUAGCAUUUCCAUUGUUCAAGGUCAUAUUCUCCAAAUGAAUUACCUCGCAUAUUUAACUUCAAUGAGAUACUAAGGUUCCAUAAUGAAAUCCUCUGCAUUUAUUAUGUUUCAAGGAAUGGAACAGAGUCCUCCAUUUCAUCAUCUU
rnacentral:misc_RNA from 1 species